rnacentral:rRNA from 1 species
UGGGGAAUCUUGCGCAAUGGGCGAAAGCCUGACGCAGCGACGCCGUGUGAGCGAUGAAGGUCUUCGGAUCGUAAAGCUCUGUCGGCAGGGACGAAAUGUUCGUUGACAAAUAAUCAACGGGCUUGACGGUACCUGCAAAGGAAGCACCGGCUAACUCUGUGCCAGCAGCCGCGGUAAGACAGAGGGUGCAAGCGUUGUUCGGAAUUACUGGGCGUAAAGGGCGCGUAGGCGGUUAAGUAAGUCGAGUGUGAAAGCCCAGGGCCUAACCCUGGAAGGGCGCUCGAUACUACCUAGCUAGAGUCCCGGAGAGGAUGGUGGAAUUCCCAGUGUAGAGGUGAAAUUCGUAGAUAUUGGGAGGAACACCAGUGGCGAAGGCGGCCAUCUGGACGGUGACUGACGCUGAGGCGCGAAAGCGUGGGGAGCAAACAGG